rnacentral:rRNA from 1 species
GACGAACGCUGGCGGCGUGCUUAACACAUGCAAGUCGAACGGAAAGGCCCUGCUUUUGUGGGGUGCUCGAGUGGCGAACGGGUGAGUAACACGUGAGUAACCUGCCCUUGACUGUGGUAUAACUUCAGGAAACUGGGGCUAAUACCGGAUAGGAGCUCCUGCUGCAUGGUGGGGGUUGGAAAGUUUCGGCGGUUGGGGAUGGACUCGCGGCUUAUCAGCUUGUUGGUGGGGUAGUGGCUUACCAAGGCUUUGACGGGUAGCCGGCCUGAGAGGGUGACCGGCCACAUUGGGACUGAGAUAAGGCCCAGACUCCUACGGGAGGCAGGAGUGGGGAAUAUUGCACAAUGGGCGGAAGCCUGAUGCAGCAACGCCGCGUGCGGGAUGACGGCCUUCGGGUUGUAAACCGCUUUCGCCUGUGACGAAGCGUGAGUGACGGUAAUGGGUAAAGAAGCACCGGCUAACUACGUG